rnacentral:lncRNA from 1 species
UGUGUUCAAAGUCAAAUGCAAGAAGUCUCGAAGGAGCAAUUGAGGCUCUUAUACGAUUUUCUCUCAACUCCGUAAGCUGAAGCGGAGGGAUGAAUUUACAAAACAUAUUGAGUGGGAUGGCAUUCAAACACUUUGAUUGAUGGAUCCUCUUGGAGUAGGAUCUUUAAAAAAAGGAUGUGUAUUCUCCAAUCAUUUUCGUUGUCCAAUCUUAUAACAUUCUUUUUAGAAGAAGGCUUCAGGGGAGUUGGGCGGAUCUUUUUGGGUGCUCUAUCAUCACUUUGCUAGCUUCAUUGCAUGCAUAUAUAUUCAUCAUUAUUAAAGGAAGAAAUAAACUAUAGAUAUUCUCUAUCGAAGACUCUGUUUUUUACAAAUGAAUAAUAUGAUACGAAUAACCAAUUAAAUAUCCCUCUUUGGAUGGAGAUGUUGUUUUAACAAAAGGACAUAGAUUUGAAUGUAACCUUCAUAAAAUAACAUAUUUUUAAGUGUGUUAUUCUGUUUUUUUUAGUUUAUUUUAAGUGUGUCGUACAAAUAAAGUAUUUGUACAUAUAUGUCCCACCAAAAUAAACUACCAGACAAUUUA